GAAUCAUACAAAGCUCUAAUAAUGCGAAGCUUAUAUAACAAAAUAUUAGCCUUGAUCUUUAAACAAUGAUCGAUUUUGUCAGGAUGAAAAACUGUCAUCGCAGAGCCAGGGCGAUCGCUGAGGUCGAUGAUCUUCUAGUUCUUUUGAAAAUCUACAUCCUGACUCGCCUUGUAAGGCAACCAUAUUCUUAAUCCGUAGCUUUGAAUGCUUGAUGUAUGGCAAACGCAAAGUUUGUAUACGAGUAUGUAUUAGACAUUGAGGAAUAGGCAAAUCUUUAUGGGGUUUUAAAUUGCGUCUGGCCAGUAUGCUCUAAAAGUAAUAAAAGUAAUUUAUUCUUUUAAAAUUCGUGGUGUAGUUUCGUAUAAACAAAGGCGGCCUACUUGGUGAUGUAGAGCGCGUCCUCACUACGCUUUGUCUGUGCUGAUAAUUUACAUUGAUUCCCAACAGAAUCGUUUGUAAGUAUAGGUUUUCCGUUAUUGUUUGAGUGUCCAAGGACAAUUGACACUAUAAAAUGUCCAGGGAGGUUGAAAUAAAAACAGUACGAGUGUUUAAGUAAGACAGUGUACCGGGAGCUCUCUGGACUAUCCCCUUUAAAUAAUAAAUAAAAUAAAACUUACAAAAAAAUGUUUGCCAAACUGAUGAUCUUAUUCGCCGUGCUAGCCCUGGCGCUGGCUAGGCCACAACUGUACUCCCCCUACGGUAGCUACGGUAGCUACGGGGGCUACGCGUCCUCCUACCCCGGCUACUACGGGUACUCCGGCUACUCCAACCCCGUAGGCUACAGCUCCUACAACAACUACGGAGUCUCCCCCUUCAGCUACGGCUACGGUUACUACUGAACAUAAUAUAAUGCCUCCAAUGUCUACGCCUAAAUAUGUGAUGUACCUUUUAUGUUAAUUUCAUGCAAUAUAUUACUUAAUUAUGUUAUGAUUA